CUUUGUUCAAGGCACGCACGGAUGAGGGUUACGAUUCCUUUGUGUGUCUCCACUGAACAAGCUAAUCCUAAUCGUCUUCUCCGGCCUUCUUCUCUGUCAUGCAAUCCGCAACACCCAUUGUGUCCUAAUCGCACCACGUCGGCCGUUCGAGGGACCUAAUCAGGCGAUGGCUUCACACGCGAUGUCGGCUGCUCGUGCGGCCUAAUCGCGCGAUGGCUGCCACCUUGCCGCUUUCACAGCCACUGCCUUAUCUACAUAAUGUUGAAGGGAAACAGCCUCUACAACUUGAGUAGCGUCUAGAGUGCUAGGAAGAUCUUUGUAAUACACAAUUAACCAAGAUGAGUCACUUCGUGCUACUAAUAGAGAACUGAGAGAACUUCCUUCCAUUUCAUUAUCCAGUCUUCCUAUAAUUUUGAAGCACCUUCUCAAGAGUUGUUUACAAAUUUGACGUCCUUUCUCUACCAUUAGUAUGUGUUUCCUCAAGAAGUUUGGAUCUGGAUCCUCAACUGGUACUUUCAAUUUGCAUCCUCCUUAAUGUUUUCAGACCCUAUGACUCAUCACAUUGAAUGGUAAGAAUUAUGCUUAAUUGUCUUUUUUAACCUAAGUAUGGUAAGAAUUUUGCUUCUUUAGCUUCUUUGGUCAAAGUGUGGUCUACGAGUUAAAGAUAACUGGAGCACUCAACAACUAAGGUUAUGUAAAUGCAUUAACUAGAUAGAGUCACAUUGGUAGAGGAUUGAUGGGCUUAUUACCAAGCGGGGUUCAAUUUCUUUUGGAGCACACUGUGAGUUUGAAACUGAUAAACCUCCUUUUUCUAGGGGAAUAAGUUACACAUCUCCUAAAUUUAUUAAAAUUUUAUAGUUAGAUUUAAAUUCAAUGCAUCUCAUUUGUUCUAUUUUAUAUUGACAUAUGUUAUGUAUGAUUAUAGAAAAAAGAUUUCGGAUGAGAAGGGAAUGAAUUUGAGGUUUUUAAAUGAAUGCAUAAAUGGAAAUAAGGUACCGGAGAGUUUGUGGACAACAAAUCGAAUUGAGUUAGUGUGUCUUAAAGAGUACUGGGAAGAACGCCGAAAAGCCAAAAAAAUGGAGAGACUUUAAAAAGUUAAGACCACUAGGAGCUGCAAUGCCGUCUCUUCACCAACAUCUAAGUAAAAAAUUUUGUGUUACGUUGCUCUACCUUUGUUUUAAUAAUGUUGUUAGUGUUGGAACCCCAAGGCUGUUUUGAUGUGAUCAACAAGUUAA